AGAGUUUGAUUAUGGCUCAGGAUGAACGCUAGCGGCAGGCUUAACACAUGCAAGUCGAGGGGCAGCGGGAGGAGUGCUUGCACUUCUUGCCGGCGACCGGCGCACGGGUGAGUAACACGUAUGCAACCUGCCUCCGUCAGGGGGACAACCCGGCGAAAGCCGGGCUAAUCCCGCGUAUAUUCCGUGAGGGCAUCCUUACGGAAGGAAAGGUUUCGGCCGGACGGGGAUGGGCAUGCGGCGCAUUAGGUAGUCGGGGGUGUAACGGACCACCGAGCCGACGAUGCGUAGGGGUUCUGAGAGGAAGGUCCCCCACACUGGUACUGAGACACGGACCAG
rnacentral:rRNA from 1 species